rnacentral:rRNA from 1 species
GACGAACGCUGGCGGCGUGCUUAACACAUGCAAGUCGAACGGGUCUGCCCUGUUUUUUGCGGGGUGGGUCAGUGGCGAACGGGUGAGUAACACGUGAGUAACCUGCCCCUCACUUCUGGAUAACCGCUUGAAAGGGUGGCUAAUACGGGGUGUUCUGGCUGUGCCGCAUGGUGUGGCUGGGAAAGAUUCACUUUUGUGGUGUUUUGGUGGGGGAUGGGCUCGCGGCCUAUCAGCUUGUUGGUGGGGUGAUGGCCUGCCAAGGCUUUGACGGGUAGCCGGCCUGAGAGGGUGGGCGGUCACACUGGGACUGAGAUACGGCCCAGACUCCUGCGGGAGGCAGCAGUGGGGGGUAUUGCACAAUGGGCGGAAGCCUGAUGCAGCGACGUCGCGUGGGGGAUGGAGGCCUUCGGGUUGUGAACCUCUUUCGCCGGUGAAGAAGGUCCUGCUCUUUGUGGUGGGGUUGACGGUAGCCGGGUUAUGAAGCGCCGGCUAACUACGUG